UACGGAGGAGCCAAGCGUUGUCCGGAUUGACUGGGCGUAAAGCGCACGCAGGCGGCCGUGCACGUGGGGUGUGAAAGCGCUCGGCUUAACUGAGCGAUGCCACCUCAUACGGCAGGGCUCGAGCCCGUGAGAGGUCCACGGAAUUGCCGGUGUAGUGGUGAAAUGCGUAGAGAUCGGCAGGAACACCCAGGGGGAAACCAGUGGACUGGCACGGUGCUGACGCUCAGGUGCGAAAGCGUGGGGAGCGAACCGG
rnacentral:rRNA from 1 species